rnacentral:rRNA from 1 species
GAUCAGCGACGCCGCGUGAGUGAGAGUAUUUCGGUAUGUAAAGCUCUAUCAGCAGGGAAGAAAAUGACGGUACCUGACUAAGAAGCCCCGGCUAACUACGUGCCAGCAGCCGCGGUAAUACGUAGGGGGCAAGCGUUAUCCGGAUUUACUGGGUGUAAAGGGAGCGCAGACGGCCAAGCAAGUCUGAAGUGAAAUGCAUGGGCUCAACCCAUGAAUUGCUUUGGAAACUGUUAGGCUUGAGUGUCGGAGGGGUAAGCGGAAUUCCUAGUGUAGCGGUGAAAUGCGUAGAUAUUAGGAGGAACACCGGAGGCGAAGGCGGCUUACUGGACGACAACUGACGUUGAGGCUCGAAGGCGUGGGGAGCAAACA